CUGCAACUCGACUCCAUGAAGUCGGAAUCGCUAGUAAUCGUGGAUCAGAAUGCCACGGUGAAUACGUUCCCGGGCCUUGUACACACCGCCCGUCACACCAUGGGAGUGGGCUGCAAAAGAAGUAGGUAGUUUAACCUUCGGGGGGACGCUUACCACUUUGUGGUUCAUGACUGGGGUGAAGUCGUAACAAGGUAGCGCUAGGGGAACCUGGCGCUGGAUCACCUCCUUAAACGAUGAU
rnacentral:rRNA from 1 species